rnacentral:rRNA from 1 species
CCGACACAGGUGGGUGGGAUGAGUAUUCUAAGGCGCGUGGAAGAACUCUCUUUAAGGAACUCUGCAAAAUAGCACCGUAUCUUCGGUAUAAGGUGUGGUUCGCUUCGUAUUAGGAUUUACUCCGAAAGCGAAGAAACUUACAACAAAGAGUCCCUCCCGACUGUUUACCAAAAACACAGCACUCUGCUAACUCGUAAGAGGAUGUAUAGGGUGUGACGCCUGCCCGGUGCUCGAAGGUUAAUUGAUGGGGUUAGCAUUAGCGAAGCUCUUGAUCGAAGCCCGAGUAAACGGCGGCCGUAACUAUAACGGUCCUAAGGUAGCGAAAUUCCUUGUCGGUUAAAUACCGACCUGCAUGAAUGGCGUAACGAGAUGGGAGCUGUCUCAAAGAGGGAUCCAGUGAAAUUGUAGUGGAGGUGAAAAUUCCUCCUACCCGCGGCAAGACGGAAAGACCCCGUGGACCUUUACUACAGCUUGACACUGCUAUUUGGAUAAGAAUGUGCAGGAUAGGUGGGAGGCUUUGAGUAUAUGACGCCAGUUGUAUAUGAGCCAUUGUUGAGAUACCACUCUUUCUUAUUUGGGUAGCUAACCAGCUUGAGUUAUCCUCAAGUGGGACAAUGUCUGGUGGGUAGUUUGACUGGGGCGGUCGCCUCCCAAAUAAUAACGGAGGCUUACAAAGGUUGGCUCAGAACGGUUGGAAAUCGUUCGUAGAGUAUAAAGGUAUAAGCCAGCUUAACUGCAAGACAUACAAGUCAAGCAGAGACGAAAGUCGGUCUUAGUGAUCCGGUGGUUCUGUGUGGAAGGGCCAUCGCUCAAAGGAUAAAAGGUACCCCGGGGAUAACAGGCUGAUCUCCCCCAAGAGCUCACAUCGACGGGGAGGUUUGGCACCUCGAUGUCGGCUCAUCGCAUCCUGGGGCUGGAGCAGGUCCCAAGGGUAUGGCUGUUCGCCAUUUAAAGCGGUACGCGAGCUGGGUUCAGAACGUCGUGAGACAGUUCGGUCCCUAUCUGCCGUGGGCGUAAGAAGAUUGAAGAGAUUUGACCCUAGUACGAGAGGACCGGGUUGAACAAACCACUGGUGUAGCUGUUGUUCUGCCAAGAGCAUCGCAGCGUAGCUAAGUUUGGAAAGGAUAAACGCUGAAAGCAUCUAAGCGUGAAGCCAACUCUAAGAUGAAUCUUCUCUAAGCUCUCUAGAAGACUACUAGUUUGAUAGGCUGGGUGUGUAAUGGAUGAAAGUCCUUUAGCUGACCAGUACUAAUAGAGCGUUUGGCUUAUCUUUAAUAAAGCAU